rnacentral:rRNA from 1 species
GACGAACCGAGCGAACGUUGUUCGGAAUCACUGGGCUUAAAGGGCGCGUAGGCGGGCUGUCAAGUCUGGGGUGAAAUCCCGCGGCUCAACCGCGGAACUGCCUCGGAUACUGACGGCCUCGAGGGGGGUAGGGGCGAGCGGAACUGAUGGUGGAGCGGUGAAAUGCGUUGAUAUCAUCAGGAACUCCGGUGGCGAAGGCGGCUCGCUGGACCCCGUCUGACGCUGAGGCGCGAAAGCCAGGGGAGCAAACAGG